UACGUAGGGGGCAAGCGUUGUCCGGAUUUAUUGGGCGUAAAGAGCGUGUAGGCGGCCAGGUAGGUCUGCUGUGAAAACUCGAGGCUUAACCUCGAGCUGUCGGCGGAAACCAUCUGGCUAGAGUCCGGAAGAGGAGAAUGGAAUUCCCGGUGUAGCGGUGAAAAUGCGCAGAUAUCGGGAAGAACACCCGUGGCGAAGGCGCCACUCUGGGCCGAAACGACG
rnacentral:rRNA from 1 species